GUCCUCGUAAACAACGCCAGACGCCCAAGACCAAGCCGACGCCAGCUAGGCCCUCCGACACAGGUGUGCGGGUGCUGUGCAGCAGCAUGUGGGUUGACGCCCAGUGCGUCGCCCAAGGCGUCCUCAGUGCUGGCGAGGCGUCAACUGAGGCGUCAUCAGGCGAAGAAGACGAUCCUGGCGGCAGUACCAGCGCCAUGGUGGAAACAGCAGCGGAUUGUGAGCGGCUGGACCAGAACCUCUACGGAAAGAAAAGCCCAUAAACAGUACUGCGAGAAUAUAUUGGGUGCCGUUUCGGCCUCUCAGGAAUGCUUACUAAUUAAAAUAUUUGUUCUUGUACGUUACAUGUUUAAAUGCGGACAGUAGAGUUAUGAAAUUUGUUUACAAACGGGAGAAAUUUGAGCAAUCAUAUCACUGUACUCUGAAGAACGUGUUUUGACAACUGCAUCAAAACGAAGUCUGUCACUAUGAUUUUUGUGUCAGUUAAAUGACAGCACAGUGUGAAUAACACCCUUGUACACUCAUCAUUUGUAUUAUCCACACAUCUCACUAGUGCUCUUUAUAUGCAAUACGUAGGAAUCCUUAUACAUCCAUACGUGUAACAAGAAAGUUUGUCCUCUCCACCAUAAUUAAUUUAGAACGUACAGAAUUCUGCAAAUGAUAAUUUUUCGUGUCUUAUAUAAGUGUUUGCAUGU